UACGUAGGGUGCAAGCGUUGUCCGGAAUUAUUGGGCGUAAAGAGCUCGUAGGCGGUUAGUCGCGUCUGCUGUGAAAACUCGGGGCUUAACUCCGAGCCUGCUUCCGAUACGGGCUGACUAGAGGUAUGCAGGGGAGAACGGAAUUCCUGGUGUAGCGGUGAAAUGCGCAGAUAUCAGGAGGAACACCGGUGGCGAAGGCGGUUCUCUGGGCAUUACCUGACGCUGAGGAGCGAAAGUGUGGGGAGCGAACAGG
rnacentral:rRNA from 1 species